rnacentral:rRNA from 1 species
UACGAAGGGGGCUAGCGUUGCUCGGAAUCACUGGGCGUAAAGGGUGCGUAGGCGGGUUUCUAAGUCAGAGGUGAAAGCCUGGAGCUCAAUUCCAGAACUGCCUUUGAUACUGGAAGUCUUGAGUUCGGGAGAGGUGAGUGGAACUGCGAGUGUAGAGGUGAAAUUCGUAGAUAUUCGCAAGAACACCAGUGGCGAAGGCGGCUCACUGGCCCGAUACUGACGCUGAGGUGCGAAAGCGUGGGGAGCAAACAGG